UCCCUGGUGGUCCAGUGGUUAGGACUCUGAGCUUCCACUGCAGGUUUCCUGGGUUCAGUCCCUAGUUGGGGAA
rnacentral:tRNA from 1 species